GACAGAGGUCCCAAGCGUUAGGCGGAAUCACUGGGCUUAAAGCGUGUGUAGGCGGAUUUGUAAGUACCUUGUGAAAUCCCACGGCUCAACCGUGGAACUGCUUGGUAUACUGCUUAUCUUGGGCCAUCUAGGGGCGAGCGGAACAAACGGUGGAGCGGUGAAAUGCGUAGGGAUGUGGAGGAACACCGAUGGCGAAGGCAGCCCCCUGGGACCUGACUGACGCUCAUGUACGAAAGCGUGGGGAGCAAACAGG
rnacentral:rRNA from 1 species